rnacentral:rRNA from 1 species
AGAGUUUGAUCCUGGCUCAGAACGCAACGCUGGCGGCAUGCCUAAUACAUGCAAGUCGAACGAGAUCUUCGGAUCUAGUGGCGCACGGGUGCGUAACGCGUGGGAAUCUGCCCUUGGGUUCGGAAUAACUUCUGGAAACGGAAGCUAAUACCGGAUGAUGACGUAAGUCCAAAGAUUUAUCGCCCAAGGAUGAGCCCGCGUAGGAUUAGCUAGUUGGUGGGGUAAAGGCCUACCAAGGCAACGAUCUUUAGCUGGUCUGAGAGGAUGAUCAGCCACACUGGGACUGAGACACGGCCCAGACUCCUACGGGAGGCAGCAGUGGGGAAUAUUGGACAAUGGGCGAAAGCCUGAUCCAGCAAUGCCGCGUGAGUGAUGAAGGCCUUAGGGUUGUAAAGCUCUUUUGCCAGGGAUGAUAAUGACAGUACCUGGAGAAUAACCCCCGCCUAACUCCGUGCCAGGCCGCGGUAAUACGGAGGGAGCUAGCGUCGUUCGGAACUACUGGGCGUAAAGCGCGCGUAGGCGGCUUUGUAAGUCAGAGGUGAAAUCCCGGGGCUCAACCCCGGAACUGCCUUUGAAACUACAUCGCUAGAGUCUGGGAGAGGUGAGUGGAAUUCCGAGUGUAGAGGUGGAAUUCGUAGAUAUUCGGAAGAACACCAGUGGCGAAGGCGACUCACUGGACAAGUACUGACGCUGAGGUGCGAAAGCGUGGGGAGCAAACAGGAUUAGAUACCUGGUAGUCCACGCCGUAAACGAUGAUAACUAGCUGUCGGGGCUCAUAGAGUUUCGGUGGCGCAGCUAACGCAUUAAGUUAUCCGCCUGGGGAGUACGGCCGCAAGGUUAAAACUCAAAGAAAUUGACGGGGGCCUGCACAAGCGGUGGAGCAUGUGUUUAAUUCGAAGCACGCGCAGAACCUAACCAGCGUUGACAUCCUCUGACGUUUCCGAGACGAUUCCUCCCUUCGGCAGAGUGACAGUGCUGCAUGACUGUCGUCAGCUCCUGUCCUGAAUGUUGGAUUAAGUCCCGCAACGAGCGCAACCCUCGUCUUUAGUUGCUACCAUUUAGUUGGGCACUCUAGAGAAACUGCCGGUGAUAAGCCGGAGGAAGGUGGGGAUGACGUCAAGUCCUCAUGGCCCUUACGCGCUGGGCUACACACGUGCUACAAUGGCGGUGACAGUGAGCAGCGACCCCGCAAGGGUGAGCUAAUCUCCAAAAACCGUCUCAGUUCGGAUUGUUCUCUGCAACUCGAGAGCAUGAAGGCGGAAUCGCUAGUAAUCGCGGAUCAGCAUGCCGCGGUGAAUACGUUCCCAGGCCUUGUACACACCGCCCGUCACACCAUGGGAGUUGGUUUCACCCGAAGAUGGUGCGCUAACCUUUUAGGAGGCAGCCAGCCACGGUGGGAUCAGCGACUGGGGUGAAGUCGUAACAAGGUAACC